rnacentral:circRNA from 1 species
GUGUUGACAGCUCUUCUACCACAAGCAGUGCUUCUCCAAUGCCCAACAGUUAUGAUGCCCUGGAAGGAGGCAGUUACCCAGAUAUGCUUUCUUCAUCAGCAAGCAGUCCUGCUCCUGAUCCCGCCCCUGAACCUGAUCCUGCUUCUGCUCCAGCUCCAGCUUCAGCUCCAGCUCCUGUCGUCCCUCAGCCUUCAAAAAUGGCUAAGCCUUUUGGCUAUGGCUAUCCAACACUUCAGCCUGGUUAUCAGAAUGCUACAGCACCACUUAUUUCUGGAGUACAGCCCAGUAACCCGGUAUAUUCUGGAUUCCAGCAGUAUCCUCAAUAUCCUGGUGUGAACCAGCUAUCCUCCAGUAUAGGAGGAUUGAGUCUUCAGAGUUCUCCACAACCAGAAAGCCUGAGACCUGUAAACCUUACUCAGGAGAGGAAUAUUUUACCUAUGACUCCUGUUUGGGCUCCUGUACCUAACUUGAAUGCAGACCUCAAAAAAUUAAACUGUAGCCCAGAUUCAUUUCGGUGUACUUUGACAAAUAUUCCACAGACACAGGCUUUACUGAAUAAAGCUAAGCUUCCUUUAGGAUUGUUGUUACAUCCCUUCAGAGACCUAACGCAAUUACCAGUGAUAACAUCAAAUACCAUUGUGAGGUGCCGAUCCUGUCGAACGUAUAUUAACCCCUUUGUAUCCUUCAUUGAUCAACGUAGAUGGAAAUGCAAUUUGUGCUAUAGAGUAAACGAUGUUCCUGAAGAAUUUAUGUAUAACCCCCUUACCCGAUCUUAUGGAGAGCCUCAUAAACGACCAGAAGUUCAGAAUUCAACUGUGGAGUUCAUUGCUUCUUCAGAUUACAUGCUGCGUCCUCCUCAACCUGCAGUUUACUUGUUUGUUUUAGAUGUGUCUCAUAAUGCAGUGGAAGCUGGAUAUUUGACAAUUUUGUGCCAGUCACUCCUAGAAAAUCUAGACAA